UACGUAGGUGGCGAGCGUUGUCCGGAUUUACUGGGCGUAAAGGAUGCGUAGGCGGAUAUUUAAGUGAGAUGUGAAAUACCCGAGCUUAACUUGGGUGCUGCAUUUCAAACUGGAUAUCUAGAGUGUGGGAGAGGAGAAUGGAAUUCCUAGUGUAGCGGUGAAAUGCGUAGAGAUUAGGAAGAACACCAGUGGCGAAGGCGAUUCUCUGGAACGCAACUGACGCUGAGACGCGAAAGCGUGGGGAGCAAACAGG
rnacentral:rRNA from 1 species